rnacentral:rRNA from 1 species
UGGGGAACCUGCCCCAUAGUCUGGGAUACCACUUGGAAACAGGUGCUAAUACCGGAUAAGAAAGCGGAUCGCAUGAUCAGCUUUUAAAAGGCGGCGUAAGCUGUCGCUAUGGGAUGGCCCCGCGGUGCAUUAGCUAGUUGGUAAGGUAAAGGCUUACCAAGGCGAUGAUGCAUAGCCGAGUUGAGAGACUGAUCGGCCACAUUGGGACUGAGACACGGCCCAAACUCCUACGGGAGGCAGCAGAA